UUUGCUUGUUCUGUGGGUGCACAGGAGUUGUGAAACAGAGAGCAGGGGGAGUGAGGCAUAGAAGGGGGAGAAGAACGAUGCUGGGUGGAAUUCUAGGUGGGAAAUUCUUCAACAAAUGCAAGCACUCGGCGAAGAACAUAAGGGCGAGGAUCGGGCCGAUACGAAGUAAGAAACAGGCCACGGUGCAGUGGCUCAAAAAGGACGUCGCCGACCUCAUCGCUGCCGGCCACGAAGCGAACGCGUACGGAAGGGUAAGAGUUUGUUUUCGCUUUCAAGAAAUUGCUAAUAAUGAAGUUUUUUGUUUUUGAAAUUAAAAAAAAAAAGAAGAAGAAAAGAAUAGGAAAUUGGAUGAAUGCUAAGGUUCCCCCUUUCCUCGAGCUCAUU